GCAAUUAUACGGCGAAACUGCGAAUGGCUCAUUACACAAGUUAUCGUUUAUUUGAUAGUACCUUACUACUUGGAUAACCGUGGUAAUUCUAGAGCUAAUACAUGCUGAAAACCCCGACUACGGAAGGGAUGUGUUUAUUAGAUUUCAAAGCCAAUGCCCCCCCCCCCCCCAAACCGGUGGGGGGGGGGCUUCACUGGUGAUUCAUGAUAACCGCUCGGAUCGCACGGCCCCUGUGCCGGCGAUGGCUCAUUCAAAUUUCUUCCCUAUCAACUUUCGAUGUUUGGGUAGUGGCCAAACAUGGUUGCAACGGGUAACGGAGGGUUAGGGCUCGACCCCGGAGAAGGAGCCUGAGAAACGGCUACUACAUCCAAGGAAGGCAGCAGGCGCGCAAAUUACCCAAUCCCGACACGGGGAGGUAGUGACAAUAAAUACUGAUACAGGGCUCUUUUGGGUCUUGUAAUUGGAAUGAGUACAAUUCAAAUCCCUUAACGAGGAACAAUUGGAGGGCAAGUCUGGUGCCAGCAGCCGCGGUAAUUCCAGCUCCAAUAGCGUAUAUUAAAGUUGUUGUGGUUAAAAAGCUCGUAGUUGAACCUCGGGCCUGGCCGGCCGGUCCGCCUCACCGCGUGCACUGGCCCCGGCCGGGUCUUUCCCCCUGCGGAACCCCAUGUCCUUCGCUGGGCGUGGCGGGGAAACAGGACGUUUACUUUGAAAAAAUUAGAGUGCUCCAGGCAGGCCUAUGCUCGAAUACAAUUAGCAUGGAAUAAUGGAAUAGGACGCGCG
rnacentral:rRNA from 1 species